UACGGGGGGGGCAAGCGUUGUUCGGAAUUACUGGGCGUAAAGGGCGCGUAGGCGGGUCGUCAAGUUGGGGGUGAAAGCCCGGGGCUCAACCUCGGAAUUGCCUUCAAAACUGGCGACCUAGAGUACGGGAGAGGUGUGUGGAACUCCGAGUGUAGAGGUGAAAUUCGUAGAUAUUCGGAAGAACACCAGCGGCGAAGGCGACACACUGGCCCGUUACUGACACUGAGGCGCGAAAGCGUGGGGAGCAAACAGG
rnacentral:rRNA from 1 species